CUCUUAUCAGGAGUGACGGAGGGAACUGGCCCGCAGAUGUCCGGCAACCUGCUUGUGGAAGCAAGGUGCUAAUUCCAGCAAAAUGACCAUCAUUUUGGAAGAUAAGGC
rnacentral:ncRNA from 2 species